rnacentral:lncRNA from 1 species
GUUAAUGUUCUGUGUUUCAUGCCAUUUCAGUAUUGCUUUGUAUGCAUUAAGCCUUUGUGCUAGAGCCAUCGUUUUUCUGUUUCUUUAUCUGCUUUAUGCUCUUGUAUCCUUUUAUUUACCGACCUCGCUGUUGAUCCUAUAUAUAUUUCCUCUCCAUUAGUGUCCCUUGUUAUCGAUUUUAAUUUGGUAAACCCCUGGCAUGUCUAAUUUGUUUCUUUUAUCUUUAUCAUUUCUCUUCAUAUUGAAAACUGUAUUUCUCUUUGCGAAAACUAUGUCUCCCCCUGCCACCUUCUCUAACAUUUUCUUGUAUUUAAGAAUAAAUGGGCUAGACUUGAUCAUAUAUGGAUUUUUUCUCUGUUCACCAUUCUUUUGUCUUUGUUUGUCUUUUUUAUUUUUUAUACUUUGCCACAGUUUUAAUAUCUCUUUGCGCAUGUAUCCAUGGUUAACUUUAAAUCUUCAAGGUUUACGACUACGAGGCCUUAUACCCGUCUAUUAAAUUAGAGCUGGCAUGCCUGCUUUUCUACCAUAUGUUUUUAGAAAACUUGCCACCAGAAGAAACAGACUCAAAGCUUUUAAGAAACAUAUGUCACCUCAUAAUACAUGAAGUUUACUUUCAGUUCGAAGAAAAAUUCUACCAGCAAAGGACAGGUGUUCCAAUAGGGAGCCCACUAGCCGGAGUAUUAGCGGAGAUGGUAGUUAGAAAUAAAGAAGCGGAAGUUGCUGAAAAACUGAUAGCUGAAGUUAGACUGUUUAGAAGAUAUAUACUGUAGAUGAUGAUGAUGAUAUAAUAAGAGAGGGAAAAGACAAUAACAUUGAUAUAGAAAAGAUGUUC